ACAGACAGAGAAGCCAGUGGCGGAGGCCUGAGAGAAGGGGAGAAACAUCAACCUGCACAGUUAAAGAUCCAUCCAGACUGUGAAUGAUAGAAUGGCAAUAAGGUGCCCCCAGGGCAUCUUGCAAACACUGCUGCCAAGGAACAUGAGGGUGCUGGGCAGAUGUGAGGAGACUAAAGAACACCAGACGACCAGAAAGAAGAAGAUAGCAGUGAAACCAGUAAUAAUCAGAGCUAUCUGGGAUUCCAAACAAAGGGGAGGAGAACGGAAUACAGGCUAAUGAUCACAGACUCUUCGUACAUGAAAGUAGCAGUUUCAAGAAACUCACCAUCUCUAGUAAGAUGGCCAAAGAUUAUUAUGUGGCUUCCUAGAUUGAACAGAAACUUCUAACUAAUUCUUCAUUUGCUCUAAAUUUUGAAAGCACUGUCAGUAUUCUU